ensembl:ncRNA Y23H5A.11 ncRNA
UGCUGAGAGUCCUGGAACAUCUGAACUGGUUUUCUAUUAUUUUUUGAGAAAUGGGGGUAACGGCUUCCCGAUUAACGCGGUGGAAGAGAAGUGGAAAGUUAGUCCACGGCCACCGCAGGGAGGGUUACCGAUUUUUUAAAUUGGUGGAAA